ensembl:lncRNA novel transcript, antisense to CBLN1
AGCAUUGUCUUUGAAUAUUAGCAAAUAAUGGAACAUGGGCCAAGGGUGAACCAUGACGAAUUUGUGUUCCAGCAGCCCUGCUUCUUUAGAAUUGACAGUCUGGCUUCGUGGUUAAUUCACAGCAUCUGAGGAAUACAUCCAAAGAGGGUGAUACUGUGGCAUGAUGGUACCAGGAUUCCAAGUUCAUUCCAGAUCAUUGGGUAGAGACUAGAAAUGUACCGAGCAGUGCGCAAAGAAGAUGAGGAGGGUUCUACAGUUUCUCCAGAUACAUACCAUGACAAUUUGUUUUUUUAAAAAAGAAGAAAGCCUGCAGGAGAUUGUGGGGACAGCAGAAUGUGACUUCCAAGGCUAGGUCCUGAAAGAUGCUGUGACUUUCGCCUGAGUCUCUUGGAUCACUCGCUCUGGGGGAGGACUGCUGUCAUGUCAUGAGGACACUCAGGCAUCCCCAUGGAAAAGUCUGCAUGGCGGCAUGAAGCAAGUCCUUGCUGAAGGUCCAGGGCAUGGCAAGAGAACCUGAGUUUAAGAAGCAGACAUCACCUGCUGGCAGCAGGCAGUAUCCUCUCAGUCAGCCUUGAUGUCCCCUUCCCUGGAUCCUCACUUCUCAUGGCAAUCUCCCCGUCUCCUCAGGAAAAAAUCUACAACUUUCAUCAAAUUACUCAGGGAGACUUUAUUCUAAAGAGACUGAAAACGACCAACAUCAAUUUUGACUCCUAUGGGCAUCUGUAAAUAGCUUCAAGGUUUUAAGAUUCAUAGACUAUCCUUUGGGGAACCCUCGUCCUCACGGGAUGUAUGUUCAUGGUGGUGUCUUCGAGUUUGUGCCCUUGUGAAGCAUUCUGGCAGCAAGCAUCUGAACACUUCCAAAAGGGGGCGAUAUUUAGGAGAAAUCGCUCAGCCUGAGUUAGAACAAAUGCAGCUGCUGGUGUCUCUUGGUGCCUGGGAGCCCUAGAGUGUCAGAGGGAGGAGCGUGCA